UCAAAGGUUCUUUUCAGAACUACAAAACAUUCUUAACACUCUUACAU
rfam:Mus musculus chromosome 6, GRC primary reference assembly.